AUGAAGAGUUUGAUCCUGGCUCAGGAUGAACGCUAGCGGGAGGCCUAACACAUGCAAGCCGAGCGGUAUUUGUUCUUCGGAACAGAGAGAGCGGCGUACGGGUGCGGAACACGUGUGCAACCUGCCUUUAUCAGGGAGAUAGCCUUUCGAAAGG
rnacentral:rRNA from 14 species